GACGAACGCUGGCGGCGUGCUUAACACAUGCAAGUCGAACGGAAAGGCCCUGCUUGCAGGGUACUCGAGUGGCGAACGGGUGAGUAACACGUGGGUGAUCUGCCCUGCACUUCGGGAUAAGCCUGGGAAACUGGGUCUAAUACCGGAUAGGAGCCAUUUUUAGUGUGAUGGUUGGAAAGUUUUUUCGGUGUAGGAUGAGCUCGCGGCCUAUCAGCUUGUUGGUGGGGUAAUGGCCUACCAAGGCGGCGACGGGUAGCCGGCCUGAGAGGGUGGACGGCCACAUGGGGACUGAGGUACGGCCCAGACUCCAACGGGGGGCAGCGGGGGGGAAUAUUGCACAAUGGGGGCAAGCCUGGUGCAGCGGCCCCGGGGGGGGGAUGACGGCCUUCGGGUUGAAAACUUCUUUCGCUGGGGACGAAGCUUUUUGUGAGGGUCCCAAGAAAAAAAGCACCGGCAACCUACGU
rnacentral:rRNA from 1 species